AGAGCGAACGCUGGCGGCAGGCCUAACACAUGCAAGUCGAGCGCCCCGCAAGGGGAGCGGCAGACGGGAGAGUAACACGUGGGAACGUGCCCUUUGGUUCGGAACAACACAGGGAAACUUGUGCUAAUACCGGAUAAGCCCUUACGGGGAAAGAUUUAUCGCCAAAGGAUCGGCCCGCGUCUGAUUAGCUAGUUGGUGAGGUAACGGCUCACCAAGGCUACGAUCAGUAGCUGGUCUGAGAGGAUGAUCAGCCUCACUGGGACUGAGACACGGCCCAGACUCCUACGGGAGGCAGCAGUGGGGAAUAUUGGACAAUGGGCGCAAGCCUGAUCCAGCCAUGCCGCGUGGGUGAUGAAGGCCCUAGGGUUGUAAAGCCCUUUCGGCGGGGAAGAUAAUGACGGUACCCGCAGAAGAAGCCCGGCUAACUUCGUGCCAGCAGCCGC
rnacentral:rRNA from 1 species